rnacentral:rRNA from 1 species
AGUGACGCACAGUCAUGA